GAUGGCAGCUGCAGUGGGGGAGGCGCAGCUGGGGCUGCGUGCUCCACAGAGCCAGCGGGAGCCAGGAACAGG
rnacentral:miRNA from 10 species